UACGUAGGGUGCGAGCGUUGUCCGGAUUUAUUGGGCGUAAAGAGCUUGUAGGCGGCUCGUCGCGUCGGGUGUGAAAACUUGCGGCUUAACCGCAAGCCUGCACCCGAUACGGGCGGGCUAGAGUUCGGCAGGGGAGACUGGAAUUCCUGGUGUAGCGGUGAAAUGCGCAGAUAUCAGGAGGAACACCGGUGGCGAAGGCGGUUCUCUGGGCAUGUUCUGACGCUGAGGAGCGAAAGUGUGGGGAGCGAACAGG
rnacentral:rRNA from 1 species